rnacentral:rRNA from 1 species
UACGUAGGGGGCAAGCGUUGUUCGGAAUCACUGGGCGUAAAGGGAGUGUAGGCGGGAAGGUAAGUUAGAAGUUAAAUGUACGGGCUCAACCCGUAAUCUGCUUUUAAUACUGCUUUUCUUGAGUAUGGAAGAGGGAGAUGGAAUUCCAGGUGUAGCGGUGGAAUGCGGAGAUAUCUGGAAGAACACCAGCUGCGAAGGCGGUCUCCUGGUCCAAUACUGACGCUGAGGCUCGAAAGCUAGGGGAG